AUAUAUAUAGUCAAAGCAACUGCUAAAAGCUGUAGUGAAGUGGAGCAAAAUGGUAUAAAAAUGGCAAUAUGUUUGGGGAUCUGAAACUCCCCUUUUCACUCUGGAAAUAUAUGCCCACAUAAAUUCAACCCAGCCCUUAAAAAUAUUCAACAUCACUUUAGGAGAGUAUAUUGUGCCUAGCACUGUUUUGUGAGACUCUUUUUUUGCGGCAAUUCUAACUGCUGUGUGGAUAUAUUUUUUGAAAGCUGAGCCCACAUAAAUGUAGUUUGUGAAAGUGGUAGUCCCCCCCACCUCCAACUCCGCCACACACACAGCUGAGAUAUUCCUUCUUUAUCACUGUGAGUGACAUUUCUUUAGAAACUUCUCCCUUGGGGAAUCAUUGCAGGAAGUGCAUUUUUCAGCCUAUUGUAGAGUGUUUCGGGGGGGGGGGGGGAUAUAUAGAAAUAUUGCCGUGCUGGGUUGAAAUGAUGGGUUAGCUGUAACACAGUUUUCAUUCUGCUAACCAUAUUGCAGAACAAUGGGAGUUACAUAUUUUGGAAUGUUGGAUCCUCCUUCCAAUCCUAGUCUCUUACUUUUGAAAACAAUGAGGCUGGAGAGGAGAGGGCAAUAACUGCUGAUGACCUGGGAUAAAUGAUGCCCAGAGCACCCCCAUUCUGUUUCUUUAUGUCAGGGAUGGGAAAUCCAUGGCACUCCACAUAUUUCUUUGGAAAAUGCUCCUGGCUUAUCUCCUUGGUAGAGCACACCUAAAUGCUGCAGAUUUAACCAUUGGCACCUAUAGGUAGGGAUGGGAAUUUCCAGUCAUUGCAGGCCAGUGUGGGAACCUGUGCCUAUUCACAUAUUGCUGGAUUUCAACUCUCAUCUAACCCAGCCACCAUGACCCGUGGUCAGGGACGAUGAGGAUAACACAUUGGCUGUCAGGAACGUGGACCCCCAGGACGCAGCAGAAGAGUCAGCCCCAGAAAUUGAACUAAGCGAGCAAGGGGCUGACUCUGCAGAGGAGAGCUGUCUGUCAGAGUUUAGAGAAGACAGCCCAACCCCCCUCCUUCCCAUGGAAGACACUGCCAGCUCCCUGGGAGAGGAAGAGUUGGAAGUCAGCCAGAGCAUUGCCAGGAAACCAGCAGAUAAGCCAGAGUCAGGGGCUGUGUCUUCUGGGAGUGGGGAAGAGACAGGCCAGCAUUUCAGUCCCCGCACUAGGAGAUUAGAGAAGCUCAGAGAGCAGUGGAAGGGAAGGAGGAGAAAGGCGAGUCUUUGGCAUUCUUCCUUCUGGGGGAGGGACGACGAGUCAGAUUGAACAACUACUGUUAAUGAGAGCACACUGUUCACCGUGCUCUGGGUGUUUUUUUCUUGUAAAUAAACUUACAUAAAAGUGCUGGAGAGUCUUUGCUGCUUAUCAGGAUGCUUGCCUGCCAGCAAUUGUUGGAUUGGUCACCUUUGUUUUAUAUGAAAGCUGUAAUAUACCAGGUCAGAUUGUGUGUCCAUUGAGUCCAGUAUCCAGUUGGUUAGAGCAUUCUGAUAAUGCCAAGGUUGCAGGUUCGAUCCCCAUAUGGGAUAGCUGCAUAUUCCAGCAUUGCAGGGGAUUGAACUCAGCAUCCCUCCUGAUUCUAUGAUUCUACUUGUGUCUUCCAGUUGUUGAGAAACCCCCAUCCAAGACAGCCAGCAAGGAUAGUUGAUGGUCAAUGACUGCCAAUGGCUGGAGCGAUACAGCUUUCCCAUCCCUGCAUUAUUUGUGUGGAUGUUUAUUCUACAUUGUAUCCCACUCCUCGAUUCUGUUUCAGCUUUCAACUAGAGGGGUUCUGUUCACAUGUUACAUUCGAUGAGUGUACAAUCUCUGUACCUGUGUACACAAAUAGUUGAGCACUACACUGAAAUGUUAUCCAGUUUGUUUGUUUAUUGCAUUUGUAUCCCGCCCUUUUCUCCAAGGAACUUAAGGCGGUGUACAUGGUUGUCCCAUUCCUCAUUUGAACCCCAGAAUAGCCCGUUGUUAUAGGUUAGGCUAGGGUAGCGACUGGCUCAAGGUCUCACAGUGAACUUCAUGGCUGAGUGGCUAUUUGAACCCUGAUCUCUCAGGUACUAGUCCAACACUCUAGCCUCCUCCCCACACUAGCUCUCAAUGUCUAACGUUCAAGGGAUGUACAGUUGUUGAUCUGUACAAAUUAAGAAGCACACACUCUUUCAAAGGAGCACUUUUAACAGCAUGG